ACACAUGCAGUCGAAGCGGAAACGAUGGGAGCUUGCUCCCAGGCGUCGAGCGGCGGACGGGUGAGUAACACUUAGGAAUCUACCUAGUAGUGGGGGAUAGCUCGGGGAAACUCGAAUUAAUACCGCAUACGUCCUACGGGAGAAAGGGGGCAACUUGUUGCUCUCGCUAUUAGAUGAGCCUAAGUCGGAUUAGCUAGUUGGUGGGGUAAAGGCCUACCAAGGCGACGAUCUGUAGCUGGUCUGAGAGGAUGAUCAGCCACACCGGGACUGAGACACGGCCCGGACUCCUACGGGAGGCAGCAGUGGGGAAUAUUGGACAAUGGGGGCAACCCUGAUCCAGCCAUGCCGCGUGUGUGAAGAAGGCCUUUUGGUUGUAAAGCACUUUAAGCAGUGAAGAAGACCUAACGGUUAAUACCCGUUAGCGAUGACAUUAGCUGCAGAAUAA
rnacentral:rRNA from 1 species